rnacentral:rRNA from 1 species
GUAAGACCCUGUGAACUGAAACAUCUAAGUAGCAGGAGGAAAAGAAAGAAAACUCGAUUUUCUAAGUAGCGGCGAGCGAAAAGAAAACAGCCCAACUCAAUAAGGAUCAUAUUUAAUUAGCAGAAUCAUUUGGGAAGAUGAACCAAAGAAAGUGACAGUCUUGUACGCGACAGUUAAAUAUGGACAGAGUGAAAGUAGCACCGGACACGAGGAAUCCGUUGUGAAGAUAGGGGGCCCAUCCCCUAAGGCUAAAUACUAACAUGUGACCGAUAGUGAACAAGUACCGUGAGGGAAAGGUGAAAAGAACCCCGAAAGGGGAGUGAAAUAGAACCUGAAACCUAGCGCCUACAAGCAGACAGAGGACAAAAGUCUGAUGUCGUACCUUUUGUAGAAUGGGCCAGCGAGUUAUUCUAAGCGGCAAGAUUAAGUAUUUAAGAUACGAAGUCAAAGCGAAAGCGAGUCUUAAUAGGGCCAAAGUCGAUUAGAAUAGACCCGAAACCGGGUGAUCUAUCCAUGACCAGAGUGAAGGUGAAGUAAAAUUCACUGGAGGCUCGAACCGGGUACGGUUUAAAACGUAUCGGAUGAGUUGUGGAUAGGGGUGAAAAGCCAAACGAACUCGGAUAUAGCUGGUUCUCCUCGAAAUAGCUUUAGGGCUAGCCUUUGACUAAAGAUUUUAGGAGGUAGAGCACUGAAUGGUCUAGGGCGGUUAACCGUACCGAAACCUAUCAAACUCCGAAUGCCAAAAAAUCAGGUCAAGGAGUCAGACUUAGAGGGAUAAGCUUCUAAGUCGAAAGGGAAACAGCCCAGACCGACAGCUAAGGUCCCCAAAUCUGGAUUAAGUGGAAAAGGAUGUGAAUCUACUAAGACAACCAGGACGUUGGCUUAGAAGCAGCCAUGCAUUUAAAGAAUGCGUAAUAGCUCACUGGUCAAGUGGGUUUGCGCCGAAAAUGAACGGGGCUAAAAUCCAGUACCGAAGCUUCGGAUUGAUAGAGAAAUUAAAUCUAUCGCAUAAAGAGGAAAAAGGAAAGAUAAAACUAAACUAGGAAAUAUUGUAACAACAAUUAAUCAAGAUAAACGAGUUAUA